AAAUUGAAGAGUUUGAUCAUGGCUCAGAUUGAACGCUGGCGGCAGGCCUAACACAUGCAAGUCGAGCGGUAGCACAGAGAGCUUGCUCUCGGGUGACGAGCGGCGGACGGGUGAGUAAUGUCUGGGAAACUGCCUGAUGGAGGGGGAUAACUACUGGAAACGGUAGCUAAUACCGCAUAACGUCGCAAGACCAAAGUGGGGGACCUUCGGGCCUCAUGCCAUCAGAUGUGCCCAGAUGGGAUUAGCUAGUAGGUGGGGUAACGGCUCACCUAGGCGACGAUCCCUAGCUGGUCUGAGAGGAUGACCAGCCACACUGGAACUGAGACACGGUCCAGACUCCUACGGGAGGCAGCAGUGGGGAAUAUUGCACAAUGGGCGCAAGCCUGAUGCAGCCAUGCCGCGUGUGUGAAGAAGGCCUUCGGGUUGUAAAGCACUUUCAGCGGGGAGGAAGGCGAUAAGGUUAAUAACCUUGUCGAUUGACGUUACCCGCAGAAGAAGCACCGGCUAACUCCGUGCCAGCAGCCGCGGUAAUACGGAGGGUGCAAGCGUUAAUCGGAAUUACUGGGCGUAAAGCGCACGCAGGCGGUCUGUCAAGUCGGAUGUGAAAUCCCCGGGCUUAACCUGGGAACUGCAUUCGAAACUGGCAGGCUAGAGUCUUGUAGAGGGGGGUAGAAUUCCAGGUGUAGCGGUGAAAUGCGUAGAGAUCUGGAGGAAUACCGGUGGCGAAGGCGGCCCCCUGGACAAAGACUGACGCUCAGGUGCGAAAGCGUGGGGAGCAAACAGGAUUAGAUACCCUGGUAGUCCACGCCGUAAACGAUGUCGAUUUGGAGGUUGUGCCCUUGAGGCGUGGCUUCCGGAGCUAACGCGUUAAAUCGACCGCCUGGGGAGUACGGCCGCAAGGUUAAAACUCAAAUGAAUUGACGGGGGCCCGCACAAGCGGUGGAGCAUGUGGUUUAAUUCGAUGCAACGCGAAGAACCUUACCUGGUCUUGACAUCCACAGAACUUAGCAGAGAUGCUUUGGUGCCUUCGGGAACUGUGAGACAGGUGCUGCAUGGCUGUCGUCAGCUCGUGUUGUGAAAUGUUGGGUUAAGUCCCGCAACGAGCGCAACCCUUAUCCUUUGUUGCCAGCGGUUAGGCCGGGAACUCAAAGGAGACUGCCAGUGAUAAACUGGAGGAAGGUGGGGAUGACGUCAAGUCAUCAUGGCCCUUACGACCAGGGCUACACACGUGCUACAAUGGCAUAUACAAAGAGAAGCGACCUCGCGAGAGCAAGCGGACCUCAUAAAGUAUGUCGUAGUCCGGAUUGGAGUCUGCAACUCGACUCCAUGAAGUCGGAAUCGCUAGUAAUCGUAGAUCAGAAUGCUACGGUGAAUACGUUCCCGGGCCUUGUACACACCGCCCGUCACACCAUGGGAGUGGGUUGCAAAAGAAGUAGGUAGCUUAACCUUCGGGAGGGCGCUUACCACUUUGUGAUUCAUGACUGGGGUGAAGUCGUAACAAGGUAACCGUAGGGGAACCUGCGGUUGGAUCACCUCCUUACCUUAAAGAA
rnacentral:rRNA from 1 species